rnacentral:lncRNA from 1 species
UCUGGAUUGAUCACCAUUCUCAUGAUGAUACUAUGAUCAGAAGUAUUUAAAAUUUAUAUAUAUGUCUCUAAUUCUCAACAUCUUUAGAAUAUGUAUCGAAGUAUUAAUUUCAUGGAUGAUUCAAAGACACAUCACUUUUGAAUGAAAAUUAAACUUAUCUAUUUAUUAUCAAAUCAAUAUAUUAAGUACAAAAUUAUACACUAAAAGUAUUACAAUGUGUCAACCAGAUUGGCUUCUAGGACAUACAUCUAACAAAUGUG